UACGUAGGGGGCGAGCGUUGUCCGGAAUUAUUGGGCGUAAAGAGCGUGUAGGCGGUUCGGUAAGUCUGCCGUGAAAACCUGGGGCUCAACCCCGGGCGUGCGGUGGAUACUGCCGGGCUAGAGGGUGGUAGAGGCGAGUGGAAUUCCUGGUGUAGCGGUGAAAUGCGCAGAUAUCAGGAGGAACACCGGUGGCGAAGGCGCUGCUCUGGGCCGGUACUGACGCUGAGGAGCGAAAGCGUGGGUAGCAAACAGG
rnacentral:rRNA from 1 species